rnacentral:snRNA from 1 species
GUGCUCACUUUGGCUGCAUAUACACAAAACUUGGAACAAUAGAAGCAUAGCCCCUGCACAAGGAUGACAAACAAUUCAUGAAUUAUUCUGUGUUUUU